GAAGGCAUAGCUCAACAGUAGAGGGCAUGCUUAGCAAGCAUGCUGUCCUGGGUUCAAUCCCCAGUACCUCCC
rnacentral:tRNA from 1 species